rnacentral:rRNA from 1 species
GAUAAUUUAUCUCCGUGUUGUAGCUAACGCGUUAAGCACUCCGCCUGGGGACUACGGUCGCAAGACUAAAACUCAAAGGAAUUGACGGGGACCCGCACAAGCGGUGGAGCAUGUGGUUUAAUUCGAUGCAACGCGAAAAACCUUACCACUCCUUGACAUGGAGAUUAGAUCCUUCUUAACAGAAGGGCGCAGUUCGGCUGGAUCUCGCACAGGUGCUGCAUGGCUGUCGUCAGCUCGUGUCGUGAGAUGUUGGGUUAAGUCCCGCAACGAGCGUAACCCUCAUCCUUAGUUGCCAGCGGGUAAGCCGGGCACUUUAAGGAAACUGCCGGUGGUAAACCGGAGGAAGGUGGGGAUGAUGUCAAGUCAGCACGGCCCUUAUGGGGUGGGCUACACACGUGCUACAAUGGUGACUACAAUAGGUUGCAAUGUCGCAAGGCUGAGCUAAUCCGUAAAAGUCAUCUCAGUUCGGAUUGUCCUCUGCAACUCGAGGGCAUGAAGUCGGAAUCGCUAGUAAUCGUGGAUCAGCAUGCCACGGUGAAUACGUUCUCGGGUCUUGUACACACUGCCCGUCACGCCAUGGGAAUUGGCUUAACUCGAAGCUGGUGCGCUAACCGAAAG